rnacentral:lncRNA from 1 species
ACUGCCCCUGUCUUUCACAUGGGCUGUAAUUUAGUUCAAUUCAGAACUGCAGAUAGUACAGCUUCCACAGGAGCAAGGGAUGUCUGAGCACAAGUGGCUGAGUUCCGAGUGACUUUAUGAAGCACUUUCUACCUUCCUCUCCGGCAUGAAAACAGGGAUUCUGCACCUGCAUCAUGGACAGUCUGGCAAAAGCCUCUGCUCUGCCUCCGGGGACAAGAAACUAGAGCAAAUAACCGUUUUGAAAUUAGAUCCUGGCAAAAUUACCAACAAUCAAUGAUGGAAACUGAAGGGAGAUUGAUUUAAAUCUUCAAUGACAGUUGUACAGAAGUUGAAGAAACACGUCAUCUUUCCAAAGAAGAGUGAGUAGCUUGGUUGGUGGUACCCUAAAAUUAGGGCAUGAUUAAGGUACGUCAUUUCUUUUAGUUCAAUCAAAGUGCUUUGCUGUUUCCAUUUCAGAGAAUUUCUUAUUCUUUUUUUCAAUUUCUCUCUCUUCCUCUUCUUCCUCUCAUUAGUAGAUGUCUUUUAUAAUUGAUGUCAUUUACUGUCCUUUCAUCAAAUGUAUGCCACAUCACUUAGGCGAACCAGCAGACAGGGCACCAAAAUACACAUUAGAGGAGACUGGCUUCCAUGAGACGCUUCGACUGUCUCAUCGGGGCACUUGUAAUAAGCAUCUUGGUGCCACUGAAUGCAAUGCUGUAUUCAAAUAAUAGCUUUCAUCUUCACUCUUUUUAAAUAUAAAAGUAAACCUUGAAGCCCUUUGAAGGACCUAACCAAACAACAUACCUAUGAAAAUAGAUCAGUAAGGCUUUGAGAAACAUUCUUAAGUAAAAUCUGUAAAGCAUCUUUGCAUUUUUUUUCAAGAAAGACCUCCAGGUAAAUGAUGGCUUUUAAUAAGACACAUGACAAUCUCAAUUACAAGAAUCAUUAGUGUGUGUCCUGUGCGCCAUUUUAUGUUCCCAGCAGGAUAUAUCUUUUCUCGUCUAGGGUUUCCAGGGCUGUCUACUGUUCUCUAUGUGUAAAACGUAUUUAAGUGUUCCCCCAAUGCUGCACUAAUGUUGAAACAAAACAAAACAAAAACGAAGAAACCUUUGUCAAGUGGUCAGACAGACUGGAACUAGAGGAUUAUAGGUAAGAGAGAUAAAAUGAAGGGUUGAAAGCUAUAAUUUCUAUUUAUGUGGUGGCAACCAAAUCAGCUGUUGGAGUCAGGCAAUUUAAAGAUGUGGCUACUGGAGCUCAGAGUCUGGGAAGAAGACACUUCUGCGUCUGACAGUGAAUCAGGCUCCCAGUUUUGAAGAUGUGCUGUAGGUAGUUCUCGCUGAAUCCAUUUCCCAGUUGGUUUCUAUUCCCCGCCCCAUUCCUGUGUCCCCACACUUUCCACUUGAUUUUACCUCUUUGACAAUUCUAUAUUUUACUUUCCUUCCUCUCAUUCCCCUUUUCCCACCCCCUUUUUUUACUGUAGUUCUUGGCCUCUGACUACUGUUCCAUGCUGGAUGUCCCCAGAAAAUAGAGUAUGUUUAGAAAGGAGACAGUGCAUCUCAGAAGGGCCUCCCCAGUCCACUAGUCCAUUUUUUAAUGUGUUGUGCUCUAUGGGUGUCAGGAAUAUUUGUAGAUGAAGUAAUUUGUGGCAUGAAUUUUGAUAGAAGCAGGAUCACCAACAAAAUGAUAAAUGUAGGUACCUGUCUACCUUGCAUAAUAUUCACUAUGAUCUUGAGAAUUUCAAUGUAUAAUUUGUCUUUAUUCUUAUUUUUCAUUAGAAUUAACAGAAUCUCAGAGCUGGUAGAAAGUAUAGAAACUGUAUAUACAACUCUCAUAUUCAGAUGAAGAAAAUGAUGCACAAAAAAUCAACUGUCCUAAGCCAUUCAGCUUGUCUAUAAGUGCUGUUGGCUUAAUUAUAGUUUUGCAUAUAUUUAGGCAAAGAAAAUACUUUCUCAGAAACUGGUUAGGACUGUUUGAGAAGAAAUAUAAUCAUCAAAAUAUAUACACAGUAAAAUGUAACCGUCCAUCAUUCAACAUAGGCAAGAAUAUAUAUUGAAUUGCCUGAGUGUAUUAUUCGUAUAGCAAAACUUACUUGAAUUUCUAAUAAAUCUUCUGACCUCUGUAUAUGUAUAAAAUAUAUAAACCAACCAAAUUCUGUACAUAAAUAUAUUUUUGGAUACCAGUACAAUCCCUAUUUCACUUUUGUGUAUUCCAGUUAUUUAUUACUCACAGUUCUGUAGUUUUAACCAGAACAAAGGGAUUACCCAGAAGAAAAGAAGGUAAGCUAUUUCAUCAGUUUUGGUGGAAAUCAGAAGUUUUUUUUUCUAUUAUUAGCUUUGUAUUCUUAAAAAAGAAAAAAGAAGGAGAAAAAAAAUCUCAUCUUCUCAUUUAUAAGAAUUCCCAUAAAAUUUGGCAGUGGUGAGGUGGGGAGGAAAUGCAUUAUCAAUAAACAGCUAGAUCCUAUUAUUGGAGACAAUCAGUUUUAUUCUGCAGAAAAUAUAGUUUGUUCUUGAAGAUUUAAUAGAUAUAAUAUUUUUUAAACCAACAUAUUAAAUAUACCAGUAAAUAUUUUUGUUAAACAAGGCUUUUAAAAUUUAAAUUAUACCCCUAAACUGGCUUUCUAGUUUUUCUGGAGAAAUAAAGAAAUUUUAAAGGAAAUAUCCACUCAGAUUAAUACUGCAAAUAUCAUACAAAAAUGUGUGUGGUGAUAUUACUGAAAAUGAGGAUUUUUGAAAACUAGAAGAGCAAAAAGUCGUUGCUCCAAAAGGCUUCAAGACUGCCUUAGGAUUAACAAUGCAAGUCUUCAAUGUAUUUAGGUAAUCAUAAUUUGAUUAGCUUUCUAAACCUAAACAUAUUUUGAUUCAAAUGUUUAAAAUAUGGUCAUCUCUUCAGUUAAAGAUGAACAUUUUGAUGAAAUAACAAUACUUAAAGCGUUCUCCGUCUCCACAAUUAAGUGCUACCUGUUAUUUAUUCAGAGCAUAUGUUUCAGUCUCAAAACACCAAGGACACAUCUCAGUGAAAUAAAAAUAAUCACUUUUUUUAAGAAAUCAGAAUCAUGUGGCAGUCGGCAGGCUUAAUUUAUAUUUUAUGGUCUCCAAAUUCAGAUGAAUAUCAUCAAGAUCUGAAUUGUCUCAAUGGCUGUCAUAAUUUAAAUAAUAAUAUAUCAAAAAUAUACACUACUAUCAUAUAAUUAAUUUGUAUAUAUGGAAAAUUGAAUUCUCUUAGCCAAAAAA